UGAGGAAUAUUGGUCAAUGGGCGCAGGCCUGAACCAGCCAAGUAGCGUGAAGGAUGACUGCCCUAUGGGUUGUAAACUUCUUUUAUAUGGGAAUAAAGUUUUCCACGUGUGGAAUUUUGUAUGUACCAUAUGAAUAAGGAUCGGCUAACUCCGUGCCAGCAGCCGCGGUAAUACGGAGGAUCCGAGCGUUAUCCGGAUUUAUUGGGUUUAAAGGGAGCGUAGGUGGACAGUUAAGUCAGUUGUGAAAGUUUGCGGCUCAACCGUAAAAUUGCAGUUGAUACUGGCUGUCUUGAGUACAGUAGAGGUGGGCGGAAUUCGUGGUGUAGCGGUGAAAUGCUUAGAUAUCACGAAGAACUCCGAUUGCGAAGGCAGCUCACUGGACUGCAACUGACACUGAUGCUCGAAAGUGUGGGUAUCAAACAGGAUUAGAUACCCUGGUAGUCCACACAGUAAACGAUGAAUACUCGCUGUUUGCGAUAUACAGUAAGCGGCCAAGCGAAAGCAUUAAGUAUUCCACCUGGGGAGUACGCCGGCAACGGUGAAACUCAAAGGAAUUGACGGGGGCCCGCACAAGCGGAGGAACAUGUGGUUUAAUUCGAUGAUACGCGAGGAACCUUACCCGGGCUUAAAUUGCAUUUGAAUAUAUUGGAAACAGUAUAGUCGUAAGACAAAUGUGAAGGUGCUGCAUGGUUGUCGUCAGCUCGUGCCGUGAGGUGUCGGCUUAAGUGCCAUAACGAGCGCAACCCUUAUCUUUAGUUACUAACAGGUCAUGCUGAGGACUCUAGAGAGACUGCCGUCGUAAGAUGUGAGGAAGGUGGGGAUGACGUCAAAUCAGCACGGCCCUUACGUCCGGGGCUACACACGUGUUACAAUGGGGGGUACAGAAGGCAGCUACCUGGUGACAGGAUGCUAAUCCCAAAAGCCUCUCUCAGUUCGGAUCGAAGUCUGCAACCCGACUUCGUGAAGCUGGAUUCGCUAGUAAUCGCGCAUCAGCCAUGGCGCGGUGAAUACGUUCCC
rnacentral:rRNA from 1 species